GAUGAACGCUGGCGGCGUGCUUAACACAUGCAAGUCGAACGAUGAAGCCCAGCUUGCUGGGUGGAUUAGUGGCGAACGGGUGAGUAACACGUGAGUAAUCUGCCCUUAACUCUGGGAUAAGCCUGGGAAACUGGGUCUAAUACCGGAUAGGAGCGUCCACCGCAUGGUGGGUGUUGGAAAGAUUUAUCGGUUUUGGAUGGACUCGCGGCCUAUCAGCUUGUUGGUGAGGUAAUGGCUCACCAAGGCGACGACGGGUAGCCGGCCUGAGAGGGUGACCGGCCACACUGGGACUGAGACACGGCCCAGACUCCUACGGGAGGCAGCAGUGGGGAAUAUUGCACAAUGGGCGCAAGCCUGAUGCAGCGACGCCGCGUGAGGGAUGACGGCCUUCGGGUUGUAAACCUCUUUCAGUAGGGAAGAAGCGAAAGUGACGGUACCUGCAGAAGAAGCACCGGCUAACUACGUG
rnacentral:rRNA from 1 species